rnacentral:misc_RNA from 1 species
AAGUCGUAACAAGGUUUCCGUAGGUGAACCUGCGGAAGGAUCAUUAACACAUCCUUUUCUAUAUCUAUCUUGUCGAACCGGGAGCCAUUGUAAGGGAAGGCCGAGUAGGCAACGGGUUGAUUUAUGACUUGAUCAUAAUUGGCCUACAGGAUAGCAGACGACUCUUUAUUGAGUUGAGCUGCAGCUUCCUUUAUGGUGGUAUACAGCGUCAAUUCCUCGCUGGACCUUUUUUUUUUAAACCUUGAAUUUUGAUAUGAAUUGGCUGGGAUUGAGAAGGUCCUCUCUUUGAGAGGUACUGCCUCUCUUGGCUUUUUGAUGGAGAAAUCCAUUCAAAUAAAAUAAAACACAACUCUUAACAGCGGAUAUCUCGGUUCUC